rnacentral:rRNA from 1 species
UACGUAGGGGGCAAGCGUUGUCCGGAAUCAUUGGGCGUAAAGAGCGUGUAGGCGGCUCGGUAAGUCCGUUCUGAAAGUCCAGGGCUCAACCCUGGGAUGCGGAUGGAUACUGCCGGGCUCGAGUCCGGAAGAGGCGAGUGGAAUUCCUGGUGUAGCGGUGAAAUGCGCAGAUAUCAGGAGGAACACCAAUGGCGAAGGCAGCUCGCUGGGACGUUACUGACGCUGAGACGCGAAAGCUUGGGGAGCAAACAGG